UUUCUGCAGGGACAAAAAAGAAAACAUGUAAUCUCACGGGUGAGAUUAUAAUGAUAUGCCAGUAAAAUCAGGAAUCAGACCAUAUUCACAGCAUGAAAAUAUCCACUUUACCUGGACAGAACACUAGGCUUUGAACUAAUUUAUCUGUUACUGUGGGCAGCACAUAUAGAGACUAUAUAAACUCAAGUAGCACCUCAUAAAAUUUUUCUUUCUAGUCAUCCAACUGUUCUGAAGAGGUCUCAUUCAAGGAGAAAAUUAAGUUAAGAAGCUGUAGGGUAACUUCUCUCCAUUCAAGGAACUGUUAUAAUCUACAAUUACUUGGAAGCCUAAGGGGAGGCUGUUCAUCUGUUAUUUUCAGUGGGGGAAAACUCACAAGACACCGUGUCCUCUGCACUUGCUGAAACAUAAAAUUGAUGCUAAAAUUUAUACUAACAUCACCUCAUCAGUGCCUGAGCACCUUCCCCAUUUUUUUUUCUGGUAGCUGAUGCAUAAACUUCCUGCUAGACUAUGUACAUAAAAGAGUAAGCCAAAUUUCUCUGCAACAAAACCCUUGGAGAAAAAAAAAAUACAGAUAGCAGGGCACUGGUCUGGGAAAAGGCUCUUCCAGGUCAUGCAUUACAAGCUUCUGGAAAAAAUUCAGUGCAGGACUUGCAUUUGCCUCAAUUCUGGAUGUUUUUUGGUUUGGUUUGUUUUUUUUUUUAAUUUUUUUUCUUUUAGGUUUUUUAGCCUCUUUUAGCUAGUCUCAGCACUCGUGGCUGGAGGGUGAGGAAGGGUCAGACAUUCCUUGGGUCAGCCCAUCCUCCAGAACUCUUACAGGACAUGCAACACAAACAGGUGAAGGAACAUCUGUUAGAGAGCACUUGGGGUUUGGUUUGUUUGGGUUUCUAAGUUAUUGCAAUGUAGUCUGUCAAUGGGAGCACCCAGCAUCUGCCUGGCUACUGCUGGGUGCUUUGUGGAUGGCUGUGAGACGGGGAGACUGCAGAGGGAGAUGCAGAAGGAUGCAAGAUUCCAACAGACUUUGUGAGGCAAGACCU